AUUGAACGCUGGCGGCAGGCUUAACACAUGCACGUCGAGCGAGUGGCGGCCGGGUGAGUACUGUCUGGGAAACUGCCUGAUGGAGGGGGAUAACUACUGGAACCGUUGGCUAAUACCGCAUACCAUCGGAUGUGCCCAGAUGGGAUUAGCUAGGAGGUGGGGUAAAGGCUCACCAAGGCGACGAUCCCUAGCGGGUCUGAGAGGAUGACCAUCCACACUGUAACUGAGACACGGUCCAGACUCCUACGGGAGGCAGCAGUGGGGAAUAUGGCACAAUGGGCGCAAGCCUGAUGCAGCCAUGCCGCGUGUAUGAAGAAGGCCUUCGGGUUGUAAAGUACGUUCAGCUGGGAGGCGUUACCCGCAGAAGAAGCACCGGCUAACUCCGUGCCAGCAGCCGCGGUAAUAC
rnacentral:rRNA from 1 species